UGUUUUAUAACUUGCAGGUGACCAUUCAAUCCCAAUUGCUGGUAGGUUGCUAUGGGCAUCAUCACCAGUGAUGUUUGUUUCCAAUGUAAAUAAAUAACUAAAUGUAUGAAUCUGCACAGGCUGCAAACCCCAACAUGGCCGCCAACUGCCACCGGCUGCUCUUCCUUGACUCUUUACCUGCAGUGUCUUUGAGAGAGGCACCUCUGUGUCUAAACUAAGCUUAAUAUACAAGAAUAUAUUCUGCAUAGAGAGAGCAAGUAACAGGUAGACCUCUAAGCUCUGCAGCUGAAAAUCAGCAACUGUCUCUCAUCUCUGAGCAUCAACUGUCACUCAUCUCUAAGCAUCAACUGUCACUCAUCUCUGAGCAUCAACUGUCACUCAUCUCUGAGCAUCAACUGUCACUCAUCUCUGAGCAGCAGCCUUGUGGUAUCACAAUGUAAUGCCAGACCUUUGCAAACUUUGUGAUUUUUAUUAUAGACCUGCAGUGUGACCAUCAUUAACCAGCAGGGAAAUGGGUGGGCUAGGCACGGGUGCCAGUAUCUAUAGAUCUUUACACGCUAGUGAACUGCUGCAAAUAUACAAAACUUUAGUCUUUAAUAUACUGAACCCUGGGACUGCCAGCACCUCAUUUAUAAUUCAUUUUAAUAUGUAAUAAAAUGAUUCCAAUACUGA